GAUGAACGCUAGCGGCAGGCCUAAUACAUGCAAGUCGAACGAUAUUAAGGGGCUUGCUCCUUAAGAAAGUGGCGCACGGGUGCGUAACGCGUAUGCAACCUACCUUAAUCAGGGGGAUAGCCCGAAGAAAUUCGGAUUAACACCGCAUAAAAACACAAGAUAGCAUUAUCCAAUGUUCAAAUAUUUAUAGGAUUAAGAUGGGCAUGCGUGUCAUUAGCUAGUUGGCGGGGUAACGGCCCACCAAGGCGACGAUGACUAGGGGAUCUGAGAGGAUGACCCCCCACACUGGUACUGAGACACGGACCAGACUCCUACGGGAGGCAGCAGUAAGGAAUAUUGGUCAAUGGAGGCAACUCUGAACCAGCCAUGCCGCGUGCAGGAAGACUGCCCUAUGGGUUGUAAACUGCUUUUAUCCGGGAAUAAACCUUUCUACGUGUAGGAAGCUGAAUGUACCGGAAGAAUACGGAUCGGCUAACUCCGUGCCAGCCGCCGCCGUAACAC
rnacentral:rRNA from 1 species